rnacentral:rRNA from 1 species
AUUGAACGCUGGCGGCAUGCCUUACACAUGCAAGUCGAACGGCAGCACGGGAGCAAUCCUGGUGGCGAGUGGCGAACGGGUGAGUAAUAUAUCGGAACGUGCCCAGUCGUGGGGGAUAACGUAGCGAAAGCUACGCUAAUACCGCAUACGAUCUAUGGAUGAAAGCGGGGGAUCGCAAGACCUCGCGCGAUUGGAGCGGCCGAUAUCAGAUUAGGUAGUUGGUGAGGUAAAGGCUCACCAAGCCGACGAUCUGUAGCUGGUCUGAGCGGACGACCAGCCACACUGGGACUGAGACACGGCCCAGACUCCUACGGGAGGCAGCAGUGGGGAAUUUUGGACAGUGGGCGCAAGCCUGAUCCAGCAAUGCCGCGUGCAGGAUGAAGGCCUUCGGGUUGUAAACUGCUUUUGUACGGAGCGAAAAGGCUUCCACUAAUACUGGGGGCUCAUGACGGUACCGUAAGAAUAAGCACCGGCUAACUACGUGCCAGCAGCCGCCGUAA